CGGGGGGCAGCAGUGGGGAAUUUUGGACAAUGGGCGAAAGCCUGAUCCAGCCAUUCCGCGUGCAGGACGAAGGCCUUCGGGUUGUAAACUGCUUUUGUACGGAACGAAAAGGUUUCAGCUAAUACCUGGGACUCAUGACGGUACCGUAAGAAUAAGCACCGGCUAACUACGUGCCAGCAGCCGCGGUAAUACGUAGGGUGCGAGCGUUAAUCGGAAUUACUGGGCGUAAAGCGUGCGCAGGCGGUCUUGUAAGACAGAUGUGAAAUCCCCGGGCUCAACCUGGGAACUGCAUUUGUGACUGCAAGGCUAGAGUGCGGCAGAGGGGGAUGGAAUUCCGCGUGUAGCAGUGAAAUGCGUAGAUAUGCGGAGGAACACCGAUGGCGAAGGCAAUCCCCUGGGCCUGCACUGACGCUCAUGCACGAAAGCGUGGGGAGCAAACAGGAUUAGAUACCCGAGU
rnacentral:rRNA from 1 species